GACGAACGCUGGCGGCGUGCCUAAUACAUGCAAGUAGAACGCUGAAGGAGGAGCUUGCUUCUCUGGAUGAGUUGCGAACGGGUGAGUAACGCGUAGGUAACCUGCCUGGUAGCGGGGGAUAACUAUUAGAAACGAUAGCUAAUACCGCAUAAGAGUAGAUGUCGCAUGACAUUUGCUUAAAAGGUGCAAUUGCAUCACUACCAGAUGGACCUGCGUUGUAUUAGCUAGUUGGUGAGGUAACGGCUCACCAAGGCAACGAUACAUAGCCGACCUGAGAGGGUGAUCGGCCACACUGGGACUGAGACACGGCCCAGACUCCUACGGGAGGCAGCAGUAGGGAAUCUUCGGCAAUGGACGGAAGUCUGACCGAGCAACGCCGCGUGAGUGAAGAAGGUUUUCGGAUCGUAAAGCUCUGUUGUAAGAGAAGAACGAGUGUGAGAGUGGAAAGUUCACACUGUGACGGUAUCUUACCAGAAAGGGACGGCUAACUACGUG
rnacentral:rRNA from 1 species